rnacentral:rRNA from 1 species
GGACUACCCGGGUAUCUAAUCCUGUUUGCUCCCCACGCUUUCGCGUCUCAGCGUCAGUGUCCGUCCAGGUCGCCGCCUUCGCCACUGGUGUUCCUCCCGAUAUCUACGAAUUUCACCUCUACACCGGGAAUUCCGCGACCCUCUCCGGCACUCAAGCUCGCCAGUUUCCUGCGCACUUCCUUGGUUAAGCCAAGGGCUUUCACACAGGACUUAACAAGCCGCCUACAAGCGCUUUACGCCCAAUAAUUCCGAACAACGCUCGCACCCUCUGUAUUACCGCGGCUGCUGGCAC